GGGGUCAUAGUGUAAUCAGGCUAUCAUCUGGGACUCCAGAUCCUAGGAUCUGGGUUCAAAUCCCGGUGACCCCA
rnacentral:tRNA from 5 species